UACAGAGGCCCCAAGCGUUAUCCGGAAUCACUGGGCGUAAAGGGUGUGUAGGCGGUCGUGUUAGUCUUUUGUCAAAGCUUUUCGGCUUAACCGAGAAAACGCAGGAGAAACGGCACGACUUUGAGGGCGCGAGAGGUAGAGGGAACUCAUAGUGUAGGGGUGAAAUCCGUUGAUAUUAUGGGGAACACCAAAUGCGAAGGCACUCUACUGGCGCGUUCCUGACGCUGAGACACGAAAGCGUGGGAAUCGAACGGG
rnacentral:rRNA from 1 species